rnacentral:rRNA from 1 species
AUUGAACGCUGGCGGCAUGCCUUACACAUGCAAGUCGAACGGCAGCACGGGAGCAAUCCUGGUGGCGAGUGGCGAACGGGUGAGUAAAGUAUCGGAACGUGCCCAGUCGUGGGGGAUAACGUAGCGAAGGUUACGCUAAUACCGCAUACGAUCUAUGGAUGAAAGCGGGGGAUCGCAAGACCUCGCGCGCUUGGAGCGGCCGAUAUCAGAUUAGGUAGUUGGUGGGGUAAAGGCUCACCAAGCCGACGAUCUGUAGCUGGUCUGAGAGGACGACCAGCCACACUGGGACUGAGACACGGCCCAGACUCCUACGGGAGGCAGCAGUGGGGAAUUUUGGACAAUGGGCGAAAGCCUGAUCCAGCCAUGCCGCGUGCAGGACGAAGGCCUUCGGGUUGUAAACUGCUUUUGUACGGAACGAAAAGGUUUGGGCUAAUAAGCUGAGCUCAUGACGGUACCGUAAGAAUAAGCACCGGCUAACUACGUGCCAGCCGCCGCUGUAA